UCGGAUAUGGUGUAACGGCUAACAUUGCCGCCUCUCAAUAUGGUCGCGGCAGCUCGGGGUUCGAUUCCCCGUAUCCGAA